rnacentral:lncRNA from 1 species
UGAUCGAUAGUUCGGUGGUGUUAUAACAAAAUUCACAACAAUUAUUAUAAUGAAAUUCACACGUACUAUAACAAUAUAUAACUUUGUGUUUAUACUAUCAAAUCAUAGUAAUAUUAUUAUUAUAAAAAUCAUAAAGAAUGUUGGUAAAUAGGCUUCUACAAACAUAUUGAAAAAGUACUAUUAUCAAAAAUAAAUCUCUUAAAAAAUUAUCCAGAAUUAACCACUUCAAGCAUUGCAACAACAAAAUCCUG